rnacentral:rRNA from 1 species
CACGGGGGUUGCGAGCGUUGUCCGGAAUUACUAGGCGUAAAGGGCAGGCAGGCGGAUCCAUAAGUUUAUCGUUUAAGGCGUCGGCUUAACCGGCGUAGGGCGGUAGAUACUGUGGAUCUGGAAUGCGGUUGGGGAAGACAGAAUUCCUGGUGUAGCGGUGGAAUGCGCAGAGAUCAGGAGGAAUACCGAAGGCGAAGGCAGUCUUCCAAGCCGUUAUUGACGCUCAACUGCGAAGGUGUGGGUAUCAAACAGGAUUAGAUACCUGUGUAGUCCCUGA